UACGAAGGGGGCUAGCGUUGCUCGGAAUUACUGGGCGUAAAGCGCACGUAGGCGGGUUCUUAAGUCGGUGGUGAAAUCCUGGAGCUCAACUCCAGAACUGCCUUCGAAACUGGGAAUCUUGAGUCCGGGAGAGGUGAGUGGAACUCCGAGUGUAGAGGUGAAAUUCGUAGAUAUUCGGAAGAACACCAGUGGCGAAGGCGGCUCACUGGCCCGGUACUGACGCUGAUGUGCGAAAGCGUGGGGAGCAAACAGG
rnacentral:rRNA from 1 species